rnacentral:rRNA from 1 species
CCUACGUGAGGCAGCAGUGGGGAAUAUUGCACAAUGGUGGAAACCCUGAUGCAGCAACGCCGCGUGCGUGAAGAAGGUUUUCGGAUUGUAAAGCUCUGUUAGCAGGGAAGAGGAAGGACGGUACCUGCAGAGGAAGCCACGGCUAACUACGUGCCAGCAGCCGCGGUAAUACGUAGGUGGCAAGCGUUGUUCGGAAAAACUGGGCGUAAAGGGAGCGUAGACGGUGCGCCAAGUCUGGAGUGAAAUGCCGCAGCUUAACUGCGGAACUGCUUUGGAAACUGGCGAACUAGAGUGCGGGAGGGGUAAGCGGAAUUCCUAGGGGAGCGGUGAAAUGCGUAGAUAUUAGGAGGAACACCGGUGGCGAAGGCGGCUUACUGGACCGUAACUGACGUUGAGGCUCGAAAGCGUGGGGAGCAAACAGGAUUAGAUACCCUAGUAGUC